GACGAACGCUGGCGGCGUGCCUAACACAUGCAAGUCGAGCGGAGUCGAUCGACGGAAGCCUUCGGGCGGAAGAUGGUUGACUUAGCGGCGGAUGGGUGAGUAACGCGUGGGCAACCUGCCUCGAAGACCGGGAUAACAGCCCGAAAGGGCUGCUAAUACCGGAUGUGGUCAAGGAUCCGCAUGGAUUUUUGAUUAAAGGGGAAACCCGUUUCGAGAUGGGCCCGCGUCCUAUCAGCUAGUUGGUGAGGUAAAAGCUCACCAAGGCGACGACGGGUAGCCGGCCUGAGAGGGUGACCGGCCACACUGGAACUGAGACACGGUCCAGACUCCUACGGGGGGCAGCAGUGGGGAAUCUUCCACAAUGGGCGAAAGCCUGAUGGAGCGACGCCGCGUGAGCGAAGAAGGCCUUCGGUUGUAAAGCUCUGUCUGAGGGACGAGGAAGUGACGGUACCUCCGGAGGAAGCCACGGCUAACUACGUG
rnacentral:rRNA from 1 species